AAAGUUGAAAAGUACUUUGAAGAGAGGGUAAACAGUGCGUGAAACCGAUCAGAGGUAAACGGGUGGAGUUGAACUGCAAGCUCUGAGAAUUCAGCUGGUGAGUAUGGUUUGAGCUUGGUCAAGUCAGUUGGACUCUGUGGUCUGCGAUGCACUUGACAGGUGCUGUGGGCUGCGGGUGUUCUUCGGGCUGACUCGCCGGUGCACUUUCUCAGAGUGGUCACCACGACCGGCAUCAUUGUCUGGCUGGUGGGGUUAAACCGGUUUCGCAAGGUCCUUGUGGCUCUGCUUGAUCGGGAUGGCAGGUAGCUCGUUGGCUUGCUUACAGUUCGCUGUGAGCGUGGUCUUCGAGUGUAAUCAGCUGACCACAUCGGUGCUGUGCAGUAUGUCGGAGAUGGCGGCUGGUGCGUGCGCGUGCAAGGCUGGUUGGCGCGUCCGGGUUUGGUCGUUAUGUGCUUGUUUACUCAGGCCUAAUGAUGAUUCGGGCGUGUCCAGUUGGUUGUUGUGCGUGCGAGAGGUACGGCGCCAAUAGUCUGUGGUGUAGUGGUAACUAUCCACCUGACCCGUCUUG
rnacentral:rRNA from 1 species